rnacentral:rRNA from 1 species
AGCGGCGGACGGGUGAGUAACGCGUGGGAACGUACCCUUUUCUGCAGGAUAGCCACUGGAAACGGUGAGUAAUACUGCAUACGCCCUUCGGGGGAAAGAUUUAUCGGAGAAGGAUCGGCCCGCGUUAGAUUAGGUAGUUGGUGGGGUAAUGGCCUACCAAGCCUACGAUCUAUAGCUGGUUUGAGAGGAUGAUCAGCCACACUGGGACUGAGACACGGCCCAGACUCCUACGGGAGGCAGCAGUGGGGAAUCUUAGACAAUGGGGGCAACCCUGAUCUAGCCAUGCCGCGUGAGUGAUGAAGGCCUUAGGGUCGUAAAGCUCUUUCGCUGGGGAAGAUAAUGACGGUACCCAGUAAAGAAACCCCGGCUAACUCCGUGCCAGCAGCCGCGGUAAUACGGAGGGGGUUAGCGUUGUUCGGAAUUACUGGGCGUAAAGCGCGCGUAGGCGGAUCAGAAAGUUGGGGGUGAAAUCCCGGGGCUCAACCUCGGAACUGCCUCCAAAACUCCUGGUCUUGAGUUCGAGAGAGGUGAGUGGAACUCCGAGUGUAGAGGUGAAAUUCGUAGAUAUUCGGAAGAACACCAGUGGCGAAGGCGGCUCACU